rnacentral:rRNA from 1 species
UCGAUUCCGGAGAGGGAGCCUGAGAAACGGCUACCACAUCUAAGGAAGGCAGCAGGCGCGCAAAUUACCCAAUCCUAAUACAGGGAGGUAGUGACAAGAAAUAACAAUACAGAGCCUUACGGUUUUGUAAUUGGAAUGAGUUAAGUAUAAACCCCUUAACAAGUAUCAAUUGGAGGGCAAGUCUGGUGCCAGCAGCCGCGGUAAUUCCAGCUCCAAUAGCGUAUAUUAAAGUUGUUGCAGUUAAAAAGCUCGUAGUUAAUUUUCUGUUAAUUUUUAUAUACAAUGCUACGGUAUUUAUAUAAUAUUAACAUAAUUCAUAUUACUUUUUAGUAUAUGAAACUUUACUUUGAGAAAAUUAGAGUGCUUAAAGCAGGCUAUUGCCUUGAAUACUC